rnacentral:rRNA from 1 species
CGUACCUUUUGUAUAAUGGGUCAGCGACUUAUAUUCUGUAGCAAGGUUAACCGAAUAGGGGAGCCGAAGGGAAACCGAGUCUUAACCGGGCGUUAAGUUGCAGGGUAUAGACCCGAAACCCGGUGAUCUAGCCAUGGGCAGGUUGAAGGUUGGGUAACACUAACUGGAGGACCGAACCGACUAAUGUUGAAAAAUUAGCGGAUGACUUGUGGCUGGGGGUGAAAGGCCAAUCAAACCGGGAGAUAGCUGGUUCUCCCCGAAAGCUAUUUAGGUAGCGCCUCGUGAAUUCAUCUCCGGGGGUAGAGCACUGUUUCGGCAAGGGGGUCAUCCCGACUUACCAACCCGAUGCAAACUGCGAAUACCGGAGAAUGUUAUCACGGGAGACACACGGCGGGUGCUAACGUCCGUCGUGAAGAGGGAAACAACCCAGACCGCCAGCUAAGGUCCCAAAGUCAUGGUUAAGUGGGAAACGAUGUGGGAAGGCCCAGACAGCCAGGAUGUUGGCUUAGAAGCAGCCAUCAUUUAAAGAAAGCGUAAUAGCUCACUGGUCGAGUCGGCCUGCGCGGAAGAUGUAACGGGGCUAAACCAUGCACCGAAGCUGCGGCAGCGACACUGUGUGUUGUUGGGUAGGGGAGCGU